rnacentral:lncRNA from 1 species
GCACAUGGGAGAAGGGAGUUUAAUCAACUUAGGACUCUUCUUUUAGGUGGCUAUUUUAAAUCCAAUAAAACUCCAAUCAAUCCUAAUCAUGUUAAGACCAGAUUAGACCCAAAUAGAUGAAAAAUCAAAUCUGAUUUGGAGCCCAAACUAUUUAGAUUAGAUGUCAUCUAAUUGGAAGAGUCCUAGUCCUUUUGGACUCUCCCUUGGUGCUUGAGUCAAACUCAACUUAAUCCUAAUCUAAUUAGAAUUUGAUGCACCCAUGAAAAUGAGAAUUUUUAGUCUAAAUAAAAACUCAUAUAUCCUAAUCUAAUUAAGAAUUGAGUCUAAUCAGGUU